UUUUUUUUUUUUUUUUCUUUUGGACUCGCGCGACUAGCGCAUUUGCCACUAACAGCUAUAUGUUUUUUUUUACAAAAUAAAAGGUAAGGAAACGAAACACGGAAAUGUUAGGGAAAAAGGAAAGGACAUAGGAUCAGGAAAGUUCAGGUAUAAAGAAAUACACUUAAUAUAAAACAUUAAAAAAGGCAAAAAAAUAAGUACAUAUUUACAACUCAAUAUUAUUUUGACUGAGAAAAUCAACUAAAAUAUUAUAAACCUUUACUUUACAUAUAUGUAAUAAACUAUGAAUGGAAGAUGGGAGAGGAAUUUUUAAGGCAAUCAAAGAAUUAUAAAAAUCAGAAUGAUCAAAAAGAGGACAUGAAAAGAACAAAUGGUUCAAAUCUGCCCAAUCUGCACCACAUUCACACUCAGGAGUUGUCACAAUAUUCAUCUUGUAUAAAUGAGCUGGAGUACAAACGUGCCCCAGUCUCAUUCGUACAAGAGAAGAGGUUUUGUUUUUAGAAUAACAUAUCUUAUGAAACCAAGGUUUAUUUGGAAUAUCUACUUGAAUUGUUUUAUAGUGAGCUCCUUUCGUGUAAGCAUUCCACUUUUCCUUCCAUGUAGACUGUAAAAAAGUUUUUGGUAAAGAAUCUAAGUCAUGAGAGAAUAUUUUAUAAGGAAAUGUGUCACCACAAGAAACCGCCUCAUUGGCCAACCUAUCAGCCAUUUCAUUCCCUCUAAUGCCACAAUGACUAGGUACCCAAGCAAAUGAAACCGAGAUACCUAGAUUAUAACAUUUUUGAAUGUCUGCUCUAAUAUUAAAAAUUAAAGGAAAGUUAUAUUUAAGUUUAAAUGGAAAUCUGUCUAAUGUCUGAAGAGAGCUUAAUGAAUCCGUAAAUAUGACUGUCUUAUGAAGUUUACAUAUAAGAAUAUACUCUAAAGCUUUCGAAAUACCAAAUAAUUCACCUGUAAAGACAGAUGUCUCUGGAGGAAGUUUGAUUUUCUGUACUAUGUUAUAUUGGGAGUGGUAAACUCCUACACCUACUAUUCCUGAGGAGGAAUGUUUCGAAGCAUCUGUGUAGAUAUAAUGAUAACCCUGCCAUUCAUUCUCAAGAACUUGUAAGAAAUGAUUGUUAGUAAAAUCACCACUUCCCACUCCAGUGUUUAAAAUAACAUUUAAGUUUGAAACUAAGGCCUCAUAAUCACAUUCGAAAAUUGGAAGAUGAGUUGACCGAUUGAUGGGCGCACACAAAGAUUUAUAUUUUCGGAAACUAUUUACUAAACAUGGGAUAGGUUUAUAUCUCCAGUAAGAAGAGGACUGAACAUGUUCAUUAAGAUAUUGAAGUUUGGAAAUAAGGGGAUGAUGAGAAAAUUGUAGGAUUCUAAAUAAGAAUUUAUCAGAGAGGUAUUGCCGACGUAGGGCAAAGGGAGGUUCGGCACACUCCACUUGCAAGGCGCUGAUAGGGGAAGAGCGCAUAGCACCCGUUACCAAUCUUAGGGCCUUAGAUUGUAUGACAUCUAUACGUUUAAGUCCAGUGACAUUACUAAGGUCAAAUACUAUAGACCCAUAAUCGAUAACACUCCUUAUCAUAGCAUUAUAAAUUAAUUUCAUUGAAAAGGGGUGGGCACCCCACCAUACACCAGAAAGACAUCGCAACAUAUUUAACACUUUCUCACAUUUCAUUACUAUGUAAUCAAUGUGAGGUAAACCCGACAAUUUACGGUCAAGAAUCACCCCAAGAAACUUAGUGUGACUCUUAACAGGAAUUAUGACAUUAUCAUAUGAAACUGUUAUGGGAGGAGGCAUUCUCUUUCUUGUAAAUAAUACUAUUUCGCUUUUAUAAGGUGAAAGCUGUAAAUGAUUGGCAUCCAACCAUAUCUGUAACUUCCCCAAGUCACCCGAUAAAAUGGUCACCGUCUCAUCUAUUGACCUAUUACUGCAAUAAAAAACUAAAUCAUCAGCAUAUUGAAUAAUAUUUACAUUACUAAUUGAUGAUUCUAAAUCAUACGAGUAGAUAUUAAAUAACAAUGGACUAAGCACAGAUCCCUGAGGGAGACCUUUACAUAUAAUUCUACUGCUUGUAGAUUGACCAUUUUCGAGUAAAAUAGUUCUAUUGGUUAAUAUAUUCAAAAUAAAGUUGGAUAAUAAAAACGGUACAUUCAAAGCUAAAAGUUUACGACGUAGUAUAUUCAAGUUAACAUUAUCAUAGGCGGAAGUAAUAUCCAAGAACGCAGCCAAAACGGAUGCAUUGGCAGAAAAUGACAGACGAAUAUCUGUCACUAAUAGGGAGAUACAGUCCAUGGUGCUCUUGCCUUUCCUGAAACCAUAUUGACUUUGAGGCAAUAAACUAUUACUUUCAAUAAACCAUUCAAGCCUAUUUUUAAUUAAGUGCUCUGCAAUCUUAAGUAUUACUAACGAAAGAGCUAUUGGUCUGAAGCCUGAAGGAUCUGAGGGAUUUUUGAGAGGUUUAAGCAGAGGAAUAAUAGUCUGUACUUUCCAUAAAUGAGGUACAUUACCAGAAAUCAAAACAUGGUUGAUAAUCUCCAAGUAGUAUAAUAGUGUAUUAUCAGACAAAUGAGCAAAGAAAGAAUAAGGAAUACCAUCACACCCUGGUGCGGAAUCUUUACAAUAUUUAAUAAUACCUUUCAAUUCAUUUAAGUUAAAAGGAGAGUUUAAUCCUACUUGGUUGUCAACUAUUGAAGGGGGAAUGGAAUAUUUACAACAUAAAGAUUCUGGGGGAACUGAAGGAGGAGCUAACCUGUCAAGAAACUGUUCAGUCAGAGAAGGGGGAAAAGCAUUAAUUGUGGAUUCCUUGAAAGCAGAUUUAAAUCUUCUUAUAUUUGCCCACACUUCGGAAGGAUUUACUUGGGGGGAUAUGGAAAGACAAAAAGAUCGCCAACUAGCAAACUUUUUCUGUUUAAAUAACUGUUUAGUUUUAGUGAUAGUUUCUAACAGGGAGUUGGAGUAGAAGCAAUAGUGCUACCCCAAGAGGAGUGUUGGCAGUUAAGAUCACCUAAAAUUAAAAGAGGUUUAGGAAUAGAAGAUAGGAUACCAUCAAUCUCAUUGAUGAUAUCAGCAGAAGCAAGGGGUAUAUACAAAGAAACAAAGGUAAUGUUAUUAACCUUUACGGCAAUAAUGGAGAAAUUACUACUAUGGGAUGGAAUGGGAAUAUGUACAUAAUUACACGGACGCCUGAUGAAUAAGGCUGUACCACCAUAUCCAUCAGAUCUGUCCUCUCUCAGACUAGAGUAGCCUGGGAUUUUAAAGAUAGAGCCUGGCUUAAGCCAGGUCUCUUGAAAUGAUAAUAUAAAUGGAGGCGAUUUCGGUUUCAGAUAAACAGUUUUUUUAUAUGAAGUUGAAGAUGAAGGAUUAUUUACAAAUGAUAAAUCAUUAUUAGUAUCCAUGAAUGGAGUGGAGAUCGGUUUAGAUGAAACCACUUCAGAAAACAAUCGGGUGACUUGAGGAUGAAUUUUGCUGGCCUCAGCAUAAGAGAUGCAGCUCUGCGCCAUGGACAAUUUAAUCGCUCUUUGUCUUUCAAAUUCUGGACACUUCUUGUUGGUUGCAAAGUGCGAGCCACCACAUGAGCAGCAUUGGAAGUCGCCCUCCUCUGCUGAACAUGUAGAUCCCGAGUGUUUGCCGCCACACUUGAAGCACCGAGGUAAAGAUCUGCACUGAUCCUUAACAUGCCCAAACCGACAACAGUUGAAGCACUGAACAGUGGGGAAGAUAUAAAGUUCUACGGAGAGGGAAGAGUAACACAUGAAGAUUCUUUUAGGAAGAACUUGGCCAUCAAAUGUUGCUACGACUGUACCUGUGUUAAUAUGGGAUGCCUUUCCAUCAUUAAAAACUUUACGUUUCAUUCUU